rnacentral:rRNA from 1 species
GAUCUGGCUCAGGACGAACGCUGGCGGCGCGCCUAACACAUGCAAGUCGAACGAGAGAUGAGGAGCUUGCUCUUCAAAUCGAGUGGCGAACGGGUGAGUAACGCGUGAGGAACCUGCCUCAAAGAGGGGGACAACAGUUGGAAACGACUGCUAAUACCGCAUAAGCCCACGGCUCGGCAUCGAGCAGGGGGAAAAGGAGCAAUCCGCUUUGAGAUGGCCUCGCGUCCGAUUAG